CCCCACACAUUCAACGAUUUCAAAAUGAAGAAGUAUCGGUAUCAGUAACACUGGUCCUGCAUUUACUUGGUGUUGGACCGAUACCAAAACGUGUCAGACCUGGACAUGGAUUGUUUGUGCUCCUUCGACGCAGAGGGAUUACAGGACGAGCCAGGCGUGAUUCAGUUUUUAUUCCCCAAGACAACAAUGAAGGUUUCUUCUUGGCCCUGCAAAGAAUCCACGUCGUCUCCAAUAGAACAGCUUUGGAGAAAACACAGGACGUCUUUGCUUUUUGCUUCCCUGGAGAUUCUCAAAGACAAGUCAAGAGGCAGCCCACAAUGAACAACUACCAGCACUGAUGAACGAUGAAGCGAUGAAGAUGGGGGAGGACAAGGGGCUUCUCAAAGGAGGCGCAGGCUCCCAAUGAUAAGAAGACUGAGGAGAGGCACUUUGCUGGCUGCAGAAAAGAUUUUUAAAUGGUAUGCAUGUGUGAGAGAGAAUGUUUGUGUCCUUUUUGUGUUGAGCUGUUUCAUUAAAAGCAUGUAUAAUAAACAUUUUUGCAGGUUUCUUUCCAGGAAUAUUAGUUGUAAAACCAUGAAAGUGGAGCACUACACUUUACUAAUGUGCAUUCAUAAAGAGAGCAGUUGGCAUCAAGAUUUUACGGACCUACUCUUUUGUAUGUUACUAUUUCAUGUUAUUGUCAUUCAAUAUACCAGGUGUCAGAAUCUUGGCAAUAUUUUUUUGUGUUUAUUGAAUAAUUUGCCCCGAGCAUUGGAGCAUUUAAGUUAAGCAGAAUGAAAAACUAACAUCUGCGCAAAAAUAGACAAAAUGAUUGGUUGACCUAACUGUCAAUUAAUGAUUUGGAAUACUCCCUUUCCGGUUUCUGAAACUUUUCAAAAGUUAUUUUGCUUUUUAGGGCCCGAGCAGCAGAGCAAGCCCCACAGGGGCGAUGCAGAGCACCCAAGGGCCCGAUUGAAAUUGCUAUUUUUUUUUGUAUACUGUACGUCUUUUUGAGGCCCUUAAAAUGCUCGAAAAGUCCCCGUAUUUUGCAGGCUCCACAAGUUCAGAUCUU